CCUGCAGCUACCUCGGCCUCGCCAGGAAUUCGAGCAUCAAAGCAGGGACCAUUUUCUCCCCGCUACACAAUGGGGGCACAGUUGCUUUCUUCUGACCGAGAGUUGGAUGAAUGAGAAGGAUCUGGAAGAAGCCGUCACUGAACGGGCAGCAAGACCUCCCGCCUGCCUUUAUCCAGUCGGGACCAGCACAACUUCGGACCUCAGAUCAAGCGUCCCUUCCUCCAGGAAGUCCUCCCUGACUCCCCGGACUGGAUUCUCCCCUGUUACACACGGCCCGUCCUGCGGUGUCAUUGUGUGCUUGUGCGAUUACUCAACAAGCAUCUCCACUCGGGGAGACCUGUGAGACCUGGGCGGGCGCUGGCCGUGUUUGUCUGACCCUCUUCCCUCCCCUGCGCCGGGCACAGAGAAAGGACGAGCUGUGAGUGCCCUCGGCGCUGCCCGGGCCCCAUACCCUCAGCACGCCCUGUGGCUUUCAUCUUGUGGCUUCAGAGUAGAAUACUAAUAUGGAUUUAUAGGCAGACAUUUGCCUCCUCUGCAGCCUCAUGAGCAAUAACAACAAAUGACUCAGAUUCCUUCUUCUUCCCCAUUCAAAAUCCCAGACUCCCUUUAAAUCCAGCAGAGACAGCAGUGCGUCAGUGAGAGCCAGGGGUGCUGGGUACGGUUGUGCAGGCCGCUCACUGCUCGAGGGUGGAGAUGGAUGGGGUGAAAUCCAGCCCCCCCCUCUUUUCACCACCUAGGACGGGGUGGGAGGAAGGGCUCCUCAUUUUCUAAAUCUCACACAGAAACCCCUGCAGGCUAGCAAGCAGCACUAAAGAGAGCGGUUAAGAAAAA